rnacentral:rRNA from 1 species
UACGAAGGGGGCUAGCGUUGUUCGGAAUCACUGGGCGUAAAGCGUACGUAGGCGGAUUGUUAAGUCAGGGGUGAAAUCCCGAGGCUCAACCUCGGAACUGCCUUUGAUACUGGCUGUCUUGAGUCCGGGAGAGGUGAGUGGAACUCCUAGUGUAGAGGUGAAAUUCGUAGAUAUCGUAAGGAAGACCAGUGGCGAAGGCGGGUCUCUGGACAGUUCCUGACACUGAGACACGAAGGCCAGGGGAGCAAACGGG